UUCACCCCCAAAGGAACCCGUAGCCUCACAUCCACUCGCGUUAACCCAAUCCACUCUGCCCCUGCCCCCAACUUCCACCGCGGCCGUUCUCGGGGUCUCCGUCCUCGGACCCGUCCCUGCCGCCACCUGCGGCCAUAGCCCCGAGCUCCCCGCCCCCUCCAUCGCCUACCUUCCUUGGUCCCUUCGCUGCCCAAGUCCCCACCGCCGGCGGUGAGCAUAACCCAGAUCCCCUAACCACAUCGAUGCAUGCCUUCCCUAGUGACGUGACCACCGACAGCCCCGUCCACCGGGGCCUUCACCGACCACCGCUAGCCCUCUCGAAGGACCAAGACAACGCCCUCCACUCUCUCCUCUCAGGGAAAGAUCCUUCCUAUUCUUCCUCUCUGGAAGGACCAGGACAUCGCCCUCUUCUUCUUCCUCUCAGGGAAAGAUUCCAUAUGUGCUUGUGCUAGAGGCAUGCCGCUGGCACCGUUGGGCCCUCAUUUAUGUUAUACAAGCCAUUUGAGGAUAUGACGUGAUGAGCUAUUUUUUAGUCAACGCAUGGCGAGUCCACUUGGAACUGAAUAGGCACUGGUUCUUCUUCUUACUCUCCAUGAGCCCCUUAUACUACUGCUAUGGUUUAUGUGCCUACUUUUAACUCUCUCGUCUGAAAUUGGGCUGCUUUGUUUCAGCUGAUCUGAUAGUGUGGGUGGGAUAUACAAAACAACCUUGAGAUGUGUCCGCGACCAAUCCACAUUCGGCACAACUCCCACAACUUGAACACCAAGCUCUUUGCCAUUUAAAUGGUUGAGAGAAUAAACUGGAUGGAUGACCAAUCCGAGAAGGGCAUUGAACAAAGUGUAGGUAUCAUGGUCAGUUAUCUCUAAGAAUUCUAGGUACUUAGCCAACUGGUGCACAUGGACGUGAUGACUUUGCAGCGUUUACGGACCAACCAACUUGUAAUCAUGGAUCUUAUGUGUUGUAGACCAUUUGGUGAUUUUGUUAUUUUGGAGCUGGCAUUUUGUGCAUGUGGAUACAGACUUGUGUGUUCUGGAUCAUCUAGUUGAAGUUUCUCAUACCGGCAAAUAGUGUCAUCUUUUUGUGACUUGUGUGUUCUGGGUGAUUAUUGAGAUGGUAAAAACUAUGCUUUGUCAAGAUUGAUGUGUUUGUCAACUUGUGUUCAAUGUAUAUGCAUGUUUGUGAAUAUAUUUCAUUGUUGUACAAUACAUGUUCAUCUUGAACCUGCUUCUGGAUGUGGGGAUAAUAAUUGAAUCUGUUUA